UCUAGAGUUUGAAUCAUGGCUCAGGAUGAACGCUAGCGGCAGGCUUAACACAUGCAAGUCGAGGGGUAACAUUGGUGCUUGCAUCAGAUGACGACCGGCGAACGGGUGCGUAACGCGUAUAGAAUCUGCCUUGUACAGGAGGAUAGCCUUUAGAAAUGAAGAUUAAUACUCCAUAAUAUUGGGAAGUGGCAUCACUAUCUAAUUAAACAUUUAUGGGUACAAGAUGACUAUGCGUCCUAUUAGCUAGAUGGUAAGGUAACGGCUUACCAUGGCAACGAUAGGUAGGGGGUCUGAGAGGAUUAUCCCCCACACUGGUACUGAGACACGGACCAGACUCCUACGGGAGGCAGCAGUGAGGAAUAUUGGUCAAUGGAGGCAACUCUGAACCAGCCAUGCCGCGUGCAGGAAGACUGCCCUAUGGGUUGUAAACUGCUUUUAUACAGGAAGAAACAGUCGUACGUGUACGGCCUUGACGGUACUGUAAGAAUAAGCACCGGCUAACUCCGUGCCAGCAGCCGCGGUAAUACGGAGGGUGCAAGCGUUAUCCGGAAUCAUUGGGUUUAAAGGGUCCGCAGGCGGUCAAUUAAGUCAGAGGUGAAAUCCCAUAGCUUAACUAUGGAACUGCCUUUGAUACUGGUUGACUUGAGUUAUACGGAAGUAGAUAGAAUAAGUAGUGUAGCGGUGAAAUGCAUAGAUAUUACUUAGAAUACCGAUUGCGAAGGCAGUCUACUACGUAUAUACUGACGCUCAUGGACGAAAGCGUGGGGAGCGAACAGGAUUAGAUACCCUGGUAGUCCACGCCGUAAACGAUGGACACUAGUUGUUGGGAUUUAUCUCAGUGACUAAGCGAAAGUGAUAAGUGUCCCACCU
rnacentral:rRNA from 1 species